UACGUAGGGUGCAAGCGUUAAUCGGAAUUACUGGGCGUAAAGCGUGCGCAGGCGGUUUUGUAAGUCUGUCGUGAAAGCCCCGGGCUCAACCUGGGAAUUGCGAUGGAGACUGCAAGGCUUGAAUCUGGCAGAGGGGGGUAGAAUUCCACGUGUGGCAGUGAAAUGCGUAGAGAUGUGGAGGAACACCGAUGGCGAAGGCAGCCCCCUGGGUCAAGAUUGACGCUCAUGCACGAAAGCGUGGGGAGCAAACAGGG
rnacentral:rRNA from 1 species